GAUGAACGCUAGCGGCAGGCCUAAUACAUGCAAGUCGGACGGGAUUCAGGAGCUUGCUUCUGAUGAGAGUGGCGCACGGGUGCGUAACACGUAUGUAACCUACCUUUAUCAGGGGGAUAGCCUCUCGAAAGAGAGAUUAAGCCCGCAUAAAAUCACAGCACAGCAUUGUGUAAUGAUCAAAUAUUUAUAGGAUAAAGAUGGGCAUGCGGAACAUUAGCUAGAUGGCGGGGUAACGGCCCACCAUGGCGACGAUGUUUAGGGGAUCUGAGAGGAUGGCCCCCCACACUGGGACUGAGACCCGGACCAGACUCCUACGGGAGGCAGCAGUAAGGAAUAUUGGUCAAUGGGCGGAAGCCUGAACCAGCCAAGCCGCGUGCAGGAAGACGGCCCUACGGGUUUUAAACUGCUUUUAUACGGGAAUAAACCCAGAUACGUGUAUCUGGCUGAAUGUACUGUAAGAAUAAGGAUCGGCUAACUCCGUG
rnacentral:rRNA from 1 species